UACGAAGGGGGCUAGCGUUGUUCGGAAUCACUGGGCGUAAAGGGCGCGUAGGCGGCUUUAUAAGUCGGGGGUGAAAGCCUGUGGCUCAACCACAGAAUUGCCUUCGAUACUGUAGAGCUUGAGACCGGAAGAGGUUAGUGGAACUGCGAGUGUAGAGGUGAAAUUCGUAGAUAUUCGCAAGAACACCAGUGGCGAAGGCGGACUGACUGGUCCGGUUCUGACGCUGAGGCGCGAAAGCGUGGGGAGCAAACAGGG
rnacentral:rRNA from 1 species